GACGAGGCGAGAUUCGUCUCUCCUCAGUCGACGUCUAGCCGUCGCGACGCGUGCGUAAUAUCUUUCGUCGGUUUCCCGAAACUCACGAGACUCGCGUGUACCACGCAGCGUGACUCGCCGUCGAUGUUCGGCCACCUGUUCGCUCCAGAAAGUCAAGCGGGUUCAGCACGGUGAGCGAUCGGCGCGAGAACCGGUCGCCUCGUGGCCCCGACCGACCAGAUAUCCGAAUAUUUUUGUGGAAUUGACGGCGCUGCGCCGACCCGGUCUGGUCUCGUCUCGACAGUAGCCUCCAGCUUGCGAUAUAACGUGUCCGGUUCUACUCGCCGCUGAAAACGCAGAAGUGUCCUCGGUGUGAACAGUCUGUGCCCUGUGAAAAUCUCGCUGGACCAGCCUCUCUCUACGUGAUUAUCAGUGCGAUACACCCUUGGAUUAUGACCGUCGGAUGACAGUCGGCAUGCCGCCGUCGUAGUCGACGCAUUCAUCCUUCGCGAUAGGAUCGCCGGAAAUGAAUAGGAUCAAGCUGGAGCAGAAACGAUCCGAUUAGCGCGAUCGCGGACGCAACGGAGGCAACGAUCUCGCGGGGACAGACCGAAAAGCUUCGAACAGCGUGCGAGGCGAUCCGAUGAAAAGUAGCGGGGGGGAGGGGUAGUAAUCGAAGAAAAAUCGAGCGUAAAUGGUUCGAAGGUGUCGGUUAAGCGAGCGUUUACAAGCGAGUAGCUGUUGCAUUCGUCGUUAGAGCAGGAGAGCUCGUACGAUCGUGAGGGAUGCGGCCCACAGCCGAAGGGUGGGGUCUUUGGGCACCGAUAAGGCUUAUCCGAAGAUACGAUGGCCGACUGCUCGGCUGUUGUCGUCAGUCGUAGUGCUCAGGUGGCGUCGACGAGAUCGCCGGUCGGUUUAACUCACGCUGAUACCGCGAGUUCGCGCCUUUUCCACGUUCGAGCGCCACGAUCGUCGCAGUCGCCGCAACCGCAGCAAUCGCCGCAAUCGCAGCAAUCGCAUCUCGUCGUUGAUCGAGUUCGACUGGUCGGCGCGGAAUUAACGGCGGUCACGGAGAUACAAGAGGAUCUCGAGGAAGAGGAGACCGUCUAAGCGACGAGGAACGGAAAACAGCGAUUCAAGGAACUACGAUAACUGGGAUCCGACAGCAUUCCGAGCGUUGAUCGUCUCGAUAGGAAUCGGCCCAGGCGACCGAUCGCUAGCAACGAGCGUCCAGUGUCCGUGCGUAGUCGAUGUCCUUGGAUGAACAAAAGUGCUCGGAAAUUGUGCCGAAAAGUCGGGAAAUCUCGAGAGUGAAUCGUGAAAAUCGAAAAGUGUAUCAUUAUAGCCGGAACGUCGGGGAGGAAGAAUUGGAAAAGUGCGUUUUCCAGUUCGGUCGAUCGGGAGAAGUUGUUCGUACGCGUAAACCGGUCGAGUUUGAGGGUUGACGCCUUCAAACCGGAAACGACGAGUAAUCCUGUCUUCCUCAAGGAUAAACGAGACCGAGGGAAGGAGGCACCGUGAUCCGGUCGCCAAGAGGACUCCCAUGAAAAUGUUACAAUCGCUGACCGCUUUAGCGGGAAAAAUCUCGCCUGGCUCGCCGACCGACAGCAACGCGAACAAGGUGCACAUGCAUAACAAUAACAAUAACAACAACAACAACGUGGUGCACCACCAUCAUCCGUACGCGAAGCAGCAGACGCUGCAACCUUCGCCGUCGUCGCACUCCAGCAACAGCGAUCAGAAGGAGAACACGUGAGUACUCGGAAUUUUUAUUUUAC